GCUCAACUUGAAAAUCUGGUCCGAUUGGGUUCGGGCCCGAAUUGUAGUCUAUAGAAGGUGUGCCAAGCAGAGCCCAGGGAGAAUUCUUCUGGAACGUGGAGUCAUAGAGGGUGACAACCCCGUCUGUGCCUUGUGAGCCUCUGCUGUACGGUCCCCUUUCGAAGAGUCGGGUUGCUUGGGAAUGCAGCCCUAAAUGGGUGGUAAAUUCCAUCUAAAGCUAAAUACGGGCAAGAGACCGAUAG
rnacentral:rRNA from 10 species